GGUUUACCUGUGUGACUGCGUACCUUUUGUAUAAUGGGUCAGCGACUUAUAUUCUGUAGCAAGGUUAACCGAAUAGGGGAGCCGGAGGGAAACCGAGUCUUAAUUGGGCGUUAAGUUGCAGGGUAUAGACCCGAAACCCGGUGAUCUAGCCAUGGGCAGGUUGAAGGUUGGGUAACACUAACUGGAGGACCGAACCGACUAAUGUUGAAAAAUUAGCGGAUGACCUGUGGCUGGGGGUGAAAGGCCAAUCAAACCGGGAGAUAGCUGGUUCUCCCCGAAAGCUAUUUAGGUAGCGCCUCGUGAAUUCAUCUCCGGGGGUAGAGCACUGUUUCGGCUAGGGGGCCAUCCCGGCUUACCAACCCGAUGCAAACUGCGAAUACCGGAGAAUGUUAUCACGGGAGACACACGGCGGGUGCUAACGUCCGUCGUGAAGAGGGAAACAAUCCAGACCGCCAGCUAAGGUCCCAAAGUCAUGGUUAAGUGGGAAACGAUGUGGGAAGGCCCAGACAGCCAGGAUGUUGGCUUAGAAGCAGCCAUCAUUUAAAGAAAGCGUAAUAGCUCACUGGUCGAGUCGGCCUGCGCGGAAGAUGUAACGGGGCUAAACCAUGCACCGAAGCUGCGGCAGCGACGCUUAUGCGUUGUUGGGUAGGGGAGCGUUCUGUAAGCCUGUGAAGGUGGCCUGUGAGGGUUGCUGGAGGUAUCAGAAGUGCGAAUGCUGACAUAAGUAACGAUAAAGCGGGUGAAAAGCCCGCUCGCCGGAAGACCAAGGGUUCCUGUCCAACGUUAAUCGGGGCAGGGUGAGUCGACCCCUAAGGCGAGGCCGAAAGGCGUAGUCGAUGGGAAACGGGUUAAUAUUCCCGUACUUGGUGUUACUGCGAAGGGGGGACGGAGAAGGCUAUGUUGGCCGGGCGACGGUUGUCCCGGUUUAAGCGUGUAGGCUGGUUUUCCAGGCAAAUCCGGAAAAUCAAGGCUGAGGCGUGAUGACGAGGCACUACGGUGCUGAAGCAACAAAUGCCCUGCUUCCAGGAAAAGCCUCUAAGCAUCAGGUAACAUCAAAUCGUACCCCAAACCGACACAGGUGGUCAGGUAGAGAAUACCAAGGCGCUUGAGAGAACUCGGGUGAAGGAACUAGGCAAAAUGGUGCCGUAACUUCGGGAGAAGGCACGCUGACACGUAGGUGAAGUGAUUUACUCA
rnacentral:rRNA from 1 species